AUUGAACGCUGGCGGCAGGCCUAACACAUGCAAGUCGAGCGAGCGGCGGACGGGUGAGUAAUGUCUGGGAAACUGCCUGCUGGAGGGGGAUAACUACUGGAAACGGUAGCUAAUACCGCAUACCAUCAGAUGUGGCCAGCUGGGAUUAGCUAGUAGGUGGGGUAACGGCUCACCUAGGCGACGAUCCCUAGCUGGUCUGAGAGGAUGACCGGCCACACGGGACCUGAGACACGGCCCAGACUCCUACGGGGGGCAGCAGGGGGGAAUAUUGCACAAUGGGCGCAAGCCGGAUGCAGCCAUGCCGCGUGUAUGAAGAAGGCCUUCGGGUUGUAAAGUACUUUCAGCGGGGAGGCGUUACCCGCAGAAGAAGCACCGGCUAACUCCGUGCCAGCCGCCGCGGUAAUUC
rnacentral:rRNA from 1 species